rnacentral:rRNA from 1 species
UGGGGAAUAUUGGACAAUGGGCGAAAGCCUGAUCCAGCCAUGCCGCGUGUGUGAAGAAGGUCUUCGGAUUGUAAAGCACUUUAAGUUGGGAGGAAGGGCAGUAAGCGAAUACCUUGCUGUUUUGACGUUACUCGCAGAAUAAGCACCGGCUAACUCUGUGCCAGCAGCCGCGGUAAUACAGAGGGUGCGAGCGUUAAUCGGAAUUACUGGGCGUAAAGCGCGCGUAGGUGGUUCGUUAAGUUGAAUGUGAAAGCCCCGGGCUCAACCUGGGAACUGCAUCCAAAACUGGCGAGCUAGAGUAGGGCAGAGGGUGGUGGAAUUUCCUGUGUAGCGGUGAAAUGCGUAGAUAUAGGAAGGAACACCAGUGGCGAAGGCGACCACCUGGGCUCAUACUGACACUGAGGUGCGAAAGCGUGGGGAGCAAACAGG